UUGUCCAUUGAGUGUCAGAGGUUUAGACGUU
rnacentral:piRNA from 1 species